UGAUUAGGUUUAAGAACAAGGCUACUUAAA
rnacentral:piRNA from 1 species